rnacentral:rRNA from 1 species
UACGAAGGGGGGCUAGCGUUGUUCGGAAUCACUGGGCGUAAAGCGCACGUAGGCGGACUGUUAAGUCGGGGGGUGAAAUCCUGGGGCUCAACCCCCAGAACUGCCCUCGAUACUGGCGGUCUUGAGUGUGGAAGAGGUUGGUGGAACUCCGAGUGUAGAGGUGAAAUUCGUAGAUAUUCGGAAGAACACCAGUGGCGAAGGCGGCCAACUGGUCCAUUACUGACGGCUGAGGUGCGAAAGCGUGGGGAGCAAACAGGGUUGAGAACCCCUACAUUCAGACCAAGU